UUACGGUCACAUCACACUGAAACACUAGUAUCCUUAUGAUAACAGAAGUUAAGCAACGUCGAGUUUUGCCAGUACCGAGAUGGGUAACCGCUUGGGAAGACCAAGUGCAGUAA